rnacentral:rRNA from 1 species
CCCUAUGGGGUGCAGCAGGAGGAGCUCAACGGGGUCAUCGAGGAGGCAGGCCGGGCGCAUGGCUGGACAUCCUUCACGGUGGUGAACCUUGCCGAGGGUGGUUUCGACGCUUCCUCCCUUGCCGGCAGGCUCAAGCAGGAGGAGAUAGAUGUGGUGUUCUACCUGGGAACCGGCGGACUGAAGGUCCUGCUGGAGGAGGCUGAAAAGCUGAACCGGCUGCCGUAUGUCUUCAUGCCGGGAGCUCAUGUCAAGGAGGAGAUGUUCCAGGUUCCCGCGGCGUUUCAGAAGAAAAUUUACCUCUCCUACCCCAUCCUGCCUUCGGAUCAGUCGCCGGGCGGCAUGUCCGAAUUGAAGGCGCUCCUGGAAAAGCACAACAUCCCCAUGAAGCACUGGACCUCUCAGGUUUCCGCUCUGACUGCCGCGAAGGAAUUGGCGGGAGAGC